rnacentral:lncRNA from 1 species
CAUACACACUAGCACCGACAGAAAGAAUGCUUUGAAGAAAUUCCUCAAAGGUAAAAGGACUUGGACAAAUGUAUGAAAGUAUUACAAACAAGCCAGUGGCCAGAGCGCACAGAUACCACCAACAUGUCACCUUGUAUCAAGGAUCCAUACACAGCUUUAUCAAAGAGGAUUACAGUGGAUGGACGAAAAGGAGGAAAAGAAGGAAGGACGAGGGAAGGAAGAAGAGGAACAGCAGGAGCAAGAAGAUUAUUGAAAGCACAGGAGUUCACUUAGAAGUAAUAUGGAAUUAAGCAAUGGAUAUGAAAGAAGAGAGAUAAACAAUCACACCCAGAGUGACUUCCCACUCUUCAUUGUCUCAUGCAAAGGAAAGACAUUCUCUGGGUGAGAUCCUUCCAAAGCAAACAUCCUGAGCACCUAUGCAUCCCACUUGUGGAUCACAGUAGCCAGCAGGCUGACUCACUUAUAUUCAUGCAACUCCCUGGUGCCAGUGAAUUACACUGAGAAUAUUCUAGGCAGCCACAUUGCUGGUGAUGAAAAGGUGGGGAAGUAGAGGGUUACCGAAA